AGUUGGUUGCUGGGGCUGGAAAUGGCUUUCUGCAAGUAACGGCAGCUCCAAAACUGUGCUGUGUAUGGAGAACACAGCCUUUGUUUUGAAGUACUGCAAGGCAGUACAGGAUUUCAGGAGAGGUGUUGUUUUGCCAUUCCUGGGCUACUGUAAAGAAGAUGGAGAAAGCACUGUUUUUCUGGGAGACAAAUACUGAAUGUUUCAAAAUGAGAAGGAAUUCCUAAUGCAAAAUGAAGAGACGGCUUCAAAAUGGUGCUGUAGGAAGGAGAUGUUUUCUGGGCGUUUAAUUAUGGGGCUGAUCUGAAUGGGAACAUCCAAGUCUAUUUUGAUGUGAUGAUUGCAAACAAAGCUAAUGCAGUUUGCAGAGGCGUCAGUCAGAGUCGAUGGGAAUUUGUUUCCCUCAGUCAUAAAACUGCACCAGGCGCCGCAAUUAAAACCUUUUUUUCUGUGACUUGCUGGUACGUCAGGCAUCAGCACGAGGUUAGCAGAAUUCUAAGUUAUCUUGUUCAGAAUUCAGUAGGAAUUUCUGUGCUAUGAAGACGUGCUGGUAGUUUCACAGCAGAUCUUCCUUAUGAAUAUGUACACCAAAGUGCCUCAGCAUGCACCGUGCAAACCAUUACGUGCACGGAUGCGUGUUUGUUUUAAUCUCCUCGAAUGCAAAUGUAACUCUGCUCUUCUUGCUGUUGACUCUGCUCCCAUCAAGCUCUACGCCAUCGACUGCAUUGCUUUACUAGAUGUGUGCUGGGAACAUGGCUGCCAUAAGGUGUGUUUUCCUCAUUCCUCUCUGAGAUUUCUUGCCCUUGUGGCCUCUGGUUUUCCCUGUGUUAAGCAUUUUGAAUUUUUGUUCCUUCUCAUGCUCUCCCACAACAAGACAUAGGAGUGUCUCUGUCUGUUUUCCUCUAACCACUGAGGGAAGACAGAAAUGAGAAGAAAUCGUUCUCCAAGUUAUUCACCCACUGUGCUGUGAAGGUUGAGGGUUUUCAGAGUGGGAGGGUGCUGAAGACCUGAGUACUAGUAAAGAAAACAAGUUUUUUUUCCUCAUUAAUUUCUCCAUGUAUCUCUUAUUUAGGGAAAGAUGAGCAAAAACCAUAGACACACCAGCUGUGCUUUUGCUCACAUCAGGGAGAUGUCAAAUGAGAUGGCAAUGAAGGAAUAAAAUGGUUUAAAAGAAGUGCAGCUCCUGGUGAGACAUCAUGGCACAGAGGAGAAAUGGGCUGGGGAGCAUCUGGAAAAAUGGGGAUCCACAAACGAUUGAAUGCCACAGUGAUCUUAAAGAAUUGCUUAUCAGCUUGGUGAGUAAGUGUUUUGUUCAGACAGCUUGGGAGUUGGAGAGGGAAACUGGAGCAUUGGGGAGGAGUAAGUAUGCAAUUCCUGCAUCUGUCAGAGCAAUGACGGGGCAGGUGUGUAAGUCUGCCCUGGAAAUGCUUGAACAGACCCUCUCCAGGGCCUGGCUUAGUUCUCAGAAGAGCUCAGAGGGGUUUCUUGCUCAGCAUUGGGUAAGGGAAGUGCAGGUGGGGCUCUUAAAGCACAGAUGGAAGACAUCCACUGUGUAAUUUCUAAUGGCUUCUUUCAGAUUUGAGAUUCUUUGUCCCCAAAUCAGUAAUUACAAGAAAUUGCAAGUCUGAUGCUAGGACACAGAUCCUGAGUAACCCUAAGGCAGCAUAACUCCAUUGAACUCAAGGACUGCAGCAUCUUUUCUUCUGUUCUUGAACGUGGAUGAACAGAUUGCCUUACGCAGCCGUGGUAUAACAGGGGUUAAUCAUUAUUCAAGUGCUGCUGUGCCUAAUGUUUGUUGGCAUUUAAUUGAAACAAAGCCUAGGAAAAUGAAAAUGAGAGUAGGAGAUUUCCUAAAUCAGUGUGUCUAAGUUGGGGAGAAUUUAAUUUCUAUAUUGGAAAUUGCAAGUUUGACUCAAGAGCUGAGUUAAGCUUUCCUUCCUGUUUGUAUUAGAAUGGAUCAGUUUCUAAUUCGUAUAAAUUAAGUCCUUUAUUUAAAAAGAAGAAGGAAUGUAGGGGAGAUGCUUUGUUAUCAUUUUUCUGUAAGUUGUUCUUUUCCCAUCUGUUAGUUUUAAUAUAGUUUUUAUGCAUUUGAAAGUAAACACACUUUUUCCUGCACAACAUUCCUCCUGCUACUCCAGCGUCCCAAUGUAAGUUACAAUACAUGCUACACUCCAGUAGAAAAGCAUCACUUUUUUUUUCUCCCAACAAUUACCAAAGGUUACACCAGGUGCAAAGGCAUUAGUUGAUUUAAUGUUUUAGAACCAUUCAAGAGAAAGUGCACUUGUCACUUUCCAAACUGCCUAAUGCUGCCUUUGCCUCCAGCGAAACAAAAGAGGGUUUUGUUUGUGCUGCAGAAGAGUUUGCUCGUGAGCUGUUGCCACUUAAUUGUUGACAUUGUACCUUUGUAUUGCUCUUAGUUCAAGGAUCAUAAACUUGGUCAGGUUGAUUACUUACCAAUUAAUCUCAAAUGGAUUUCACCGUCUAAUCUAAUUACUUACAUUUCUGUUCUGUGCUGCUGUUACACCUCUUGUAAGGCUUUCAGCAAACUCAAUACUGACAAUGUACAAGGAUGCUGAGGCUUGGCAUUUAGAAAUGUCAGGAAUCACACGUGCUCGUUUCAGUUUGGUCUUUGUUUCUGGCUGUCCCAGUUACAGACGAGCCCCAUCUAGGUGGUGUCCCUGUCUGAGCUGUUACAUCUUGAUCAUAGCUGUCUUACGGGGCAGUCACGUUCUGGUCUGCCAGUCCCAUUCUAUUAUCUUCUAGUGAAGAAAAAAAAAAAAAAGCUGCCUAAUACCCUAAUGAUAGGCUCAUGAAAUUAUGAAGCGUGUCGUGCUGCGUAGUGGAAGAUAAUAGCUAUGCCAAUAACAGCAGCAGAACUUGUAAGCAUUUAAUAUUGGAAAGCACGAGAAUGUUUUAAACACAGCUUCGGAACGGGUGGGUGAGCAGCCAGGACUGAGCCUCUGUGAGAGGCGGCUUUGUGUGCUCUGCUGGGUACUGCAGGCUGCUCCGAGGAGGCCGAGGGAAGUGGUACCUUCUCCUUUUUUAAUGACAACUACGUUAAUUUGUGUUUCCAUCUCUCUCCCUAUGCCUCUGCUUAUUAGAGCGAAUCUGCGAGUCUCAGGGAGGCGGUGUUGAAGAGGAAGGUGGAGAUCACAUUGAGUGACACAGGAGUGGUUGCACGUGUGGGUUGGUGGCUGGUCCAGAUGAACUUAGCGGUCAUUCCUUAGCCUUAAUGAUGCUGUGAAAUAAGCCAUUGGCCAGUUUUUCCUUAAUUAGUAUCAAUAAUUACUUUGUAAUUUCAUCUGUACCACUCAGCAUGCUAGGCUUGGCAUGUUAGGCUCAUGUCCUGCUGCAGUGGGCAGAGCUGUGUGGAGGAGGGUGUCCAGGUUCAAGGGGCAGAGAGCUGUCUGAGAAAUCAGCUCCUGUGUGUCAGACUAAUGCAGUAAGGGAAGAUGGCAGAAAAAUAAUUGCGUUCUCUUUGUUAAUGAAAGAUCACUUCAAGUCAUUGAUGGCUUCACCAGCUUAAUUACUUUGCAGCGGCAGCAGUCAGAGCCCUUGGUUCGAGGUCUGAAAUAGCAUGUGUGUGUAGAUAUUCUGCAGUGAACAAGGCUGUUGUGUGCAAUGGCAGUUCAGGGGUGUGGAGGUGCACGUGGAGAAGUGCAGGAAAAAGAGAUGAGGUGCUUGGUGAAGGGCAGGGACAUCUCCCAACCCAACAAGUGCUGUGUGCAUGGAUGUGUGCUUGUUCUGUGUGAGAGUUGCUGUGUUCAGCUAUGUGCACGUUCUGCAGGGGAUCCAGCAGACAAUAAAACAUAUACAGUGAUUCAAUAGAACCCAGAGGGAACAGGUAAUGUGAUGCAAAUAUUGGGCCCAGCCAAGCUAUAGUAAGGAUUUAUAAGGCAGACAGCGAUUGAUGAGUAAAAUGGUUAUCUCCCACUUCUACGUGCAAGAUGAAGAAAAUGUCCAAAGAGGCCCCAACAGGGGUGAUAAAAGCAUUUUUGAGUUUUGUGAAGGAAAGUGAAUGUUUGCUUUGGGGAGUAAAGGAACAGAGGAGUGGUCCUGGCUUUGUCCUUGAGAGUUUUGUGUGGGAUAACGCUGUGCUGCACCAUAUGUGAGCAUGUGAUACCAAAGUUACCAGGAUGCCCCUAGAGACCUGUGAAGCAGGGCUGGUUUCAGUGCUCGCUUGGAUUAGUGCUUCUUGGCUGAGUCAGGCCCUGCAUUUUUCCCUGGUUAUUUCAAAGGCUUGGGUCAAUAGCAAAGUAAUCAACAUCUCAGAGCAGUGUGUUGGUAAGGGCCAACUCAUCAUAACCAGCUGUCCAAACAGCAGUUCUAUCGACAUCUGACUUUUGAAUACUUCUUAAGUUCAAAUGCAUAUUUUGUGAUAAUAUGAAAAAACUGCUGCUAUUCAGUCGUUGACCCAAAAUCUUUGUGGAACAUGGAGUUCUCACUUUAUGUUAGCUUUUCUUUUUUUGGUUUCCCAUUUAGAGCUGCAAGACAUGGUGCAGAGCAGUAGAAGUGUGUGGUUACCUUCAAGAUUGCAUUCAAAGGACCGAGGGGAUCUGUCCUGUGCUGGCACAUCACACCCUGCCCUGUCCUGGCUUCCUGGCUGGCAGCAAGAUGCCAACAGCCAUGCUGGGUGCUGCGUCACGGGGUUUUAUCGCUUUAGGAUCAUCAUUUCUGUGGUGUGCCUUGCCAGACUACGUGUUUCUGUAUCGUCUGACUUGUAAUUAUAUCCCCUCCGUGAAACAGUUUUCUGAUAAACUGGAAGGACUUAUUCAUCUGCUUCUGCUGAACUAUGUAUAGAACUGAGCCGCAGCCGUGAUUUGUACCCUUGUAGUUGUUUAUUAUUCCUUCCUGGGAGUCUCAAUGCCUGCUGGAGAAAUCUGUGGUGUGGGAUGGUGUCGUGGCAGUAGUGAAGAGCUGGGUUCAAAGUGGGAGGCAGCCAUUCCAGAACGUUUUUAUUUUUAGAUCCUCCUUUCCUCAGUCUUGGAUGCUGCCUCUCUGCCCUCCUUCAGUCUGAUUGCUGCCAAGCUGUGCGAGACAACUUCAGACUGACAUCCAGCCACAGCUUGAAAUGCGCCUUGAAAUCUGUUUUAAUUAGAUACGAGCCAUAAUAAUUUAAUUACAGAUCCACCCACUAAAUUGUCUGUUUUGAAUUUUAGCAGCCACAUUGUAUACAGAAACAAAAUGUUUGGAGCAGUUCCCUCUGAUUCCUAGCAAGGGCAUUGAAGCUAGGAGUGCAACAGCAGUGUGCUCUGCUUGUUUUACCUCUGGCUUGCUUGUCACCACACAGUGUGCAGCAUCUCAGAGUAGGGGACAGUGGAGCUGUGCAGGGUCUGGAGCACUGGUCUAAUGGGGAGCAGCUGAGGGGGCUGGAGUGCUUCAGUCUGGAGAAGAGGAGUUCAGGGGAGGCCUUAUCUCUCUCUAUAGCUGCCUGAGCAGAGGUUGUGGCAAGAGGGAGAUCAGCCUCUGCUCCUGGGUAACAGCAAUAGGAUGAGAGGGGUUGGCCACACUUUGCACCAAGGCAGAUUCCAGGUGGGAUAUGAGGAACAGCAUCUUCUCCAAAGAGCUGUCAGGUGCUGGCAUGGGCUGCUCAGGGGGUGGUGGGGGCACCGUCCCUGAAGGUGUUCAAGAAACAUGGAGACGUGGCCUGAGGGAUGUGGGCAGUGGGUAUGGUAGGGGUGGGCUGGGCUUGGAGAUCUUGGAGGUCUUUUCAAACCUCUGUGGUUCUGUGGUCUACAUAGAAUAUUCCAAGUUGGAGGAGACCCACAAGGCAGCUGGAACUUAGCUGCCUGCUCCUGUGGGUGUUUCCUAGUGCUGAGGAAGCCCCAGAGACAAGAGUGGGCAAUGGAUGGCUGGAGCUUGAGACGUAUCCCAUUGCCAUAUGAACAGACCUGCCAAAUAACUAGUUCCUAUCAACUGAAUUAAAUGGGCAUCAGAUGUUGAAGAUGGAAUUCCAUCUUUCAUUGUAGAUAUAUAGAGACCAUUGUCCCAGAGGAAUUGCUGCUGGGAACAAUGUUGGGGUUGCUAUGCAGCGAUCUGCAUACCAUGAGAUACAGCUGUCUGAAUUUGCAAUUGAGAAGAAGAUUGAUAACUGUUAGGUCCUUGGCCAUGUGUAGUAAUUAGAAUAGACAAAGCCACUUGGUCAUGUGAGGGUGCUGGCUGGUAUGUGAUGCCAUGCAGCAGGGCAGUGAGCGAGGGCUGUGCUGCAGGAGAGGCUGUGUCUGAGCAGUGGGCUGGGGGCAGCCCUGAGCUCUGCUGCAGAGCACUGCUCAAGCCCUCAGGUGGAUGCAUGCAUGCAUUGAAUCCUCCCAGUGGUGUCCAUCGUGAACAGAGAUGGCUAUUCUUAGGGACAGGGUGACAGCAGAACUGUCCUGGGGAAAAUACUUGCUAACACACCAAAGUGCUGUGUGAGCAAACCUGAAACACUCUUUACUGAUCAAGUGGGAGAUGCUAAUUUGAUUCAUUCUGAAUUAUCUAAAAGAAGGCAUUAAGUAAUGUUCUUGAAGGGCUUUGUGUUUUACUUCAGUAUGUCUGAGGACUGCUGUAGAGAAUAUUGUAGUUGACAGCACAAAUUCUGUAAUUCUCGUUAGCUUUAUGGUGUAACAUUUAUUUUUACUUUGCCAGCAUUGCAGAUUCAGUGCAAUCUUCAGGUUUGAACUGUUCUGUACCUUCAUAUUCACAAAUGAGUAAUUUCCAGCUUGAUAAUUUCUUCAUUCUUACUUGUUCUUCAAGAACCUUCUUCAAGAACAUGUAAGUUCUUGAAACUUGCGAAGGAUGUUUUUUUUUCUCCAAAAUUUUGGACAGCUAUUCUGAUGAAAUCCUGUUAACAGGAUUUCUUAGUGGUGAGCAGUUGGUUGAAAAGCUGAGAAAUCUAAAUUAAUUCUCCUUUUUGUUGCCUGUGGUAUAAAAUCCCAUUUAAAUCAGCUAUGAAAGCUGCUGGAUGGGAGCAUCCAUUCACGUGGGCAGCGGGUGCUAGAAAACAGCUGCUGUGCUGUGAGCUCAGCUGGGAUCCCGAAGAUGACUGAGAGAUGUGCUCCUGGUAAGUCGGCAGGGACCCUUGUGAUGGAGGCCUGAUGUCCUGAGGGUAAUUCUGCCUUCACCUGUGCUGUGAUUGGGCUGUGCUGCUUCAUCCAGCUGCCUCCGGAGCAGGAAGCUGGCACGGCACUUGUCAGGUGCUCCUCUGUUUCCUUGGCUACAGGACUGUUUAAAUGCCAUCAGUUUUAUUGGCAUUAAUGAGAACCUUCUGGGACACGUGUCUUCCCACAAUAGGCAGCAGUCUCCUUUGCACUGCAGGCUGUGACAAAGCACUGGCUGUGGGGAUGUGGUGUUUUGGGUACCGAUCACCUCCCAGGAGGAAGAAAGCAGUUUAAGAAGAGAGAAAUACUAAAACUGUGUAAGUCUCCAUACUGAACAUCCUCGGAUGACGUCCUUUAUUGUUUGAGUCUUUCAUUCUGUGACACUAACAUGCUACCAAGACUUUUUGCUUCCAAAAACCAAGGAUGUGUUUCUUUACAAACACCUAUAAUUAUGUCAGAAUUGUAUAAAAGGUUUUCUAUUUGCAUAGGAUAGCAUUAAUUUUGCAUUCUUCUCUCAAAUGAAGCACAGAGAAGGAACAAAUAAUUUAUUCAUGCAAAACCAACCCACAUGAAUCAUUUAUUUACCACUUCUGGUGAUUUCUCAAGCUCCCUUUUUGUGCAUCAAGCUGCAAAUUAAUAAAAAAUUUCUAGGGAUUGGUUUUGUCCUGAGAAAAGUAAUUCCCUCCAUAGCUUCCCCUAUGCAGAAAAGCAUUAUGUGAACUUGGGGAGAAAAAGUCCAUGGGAGGGAUUUUGUUUGUUAAAUGAACUCUGAAAGAGGAGCUGUAAGAGAAGCAGUUCUCAUUCCUAAUGAAGAUUUGAAAAGAGAAUUCUUGAAGUCAAUCCGUGAAUUCGGAGCAACUCCCUCUGUUACGUGAGGUUUUACCACCCUGUGUGAUGCAUGAGAUCUGCAAAAGCAUGAAGAGGUGAGUGAGAGGUGUCCCGACUUCCUAAAACUGUGGUCCUUUUCCAGCAUCAGAGUUUAACAGAACAAAUUCUGCUCCUGCUGGGCUCCAUGGAGUUUGCUGUUUGGAGGUCGUUUGGAGGAUGUUUCGUGUGGUACCACGUGGGUUUUACAGUUAGGGUUAGGUGCUGUUUCUUGAGCCACCGUUUGGUGCUCAGGAUGGGUUUUGCUCCAUGUUUUGUUACUGCAGGGCAUCCUCCUUCCAUCUCAGAGGAUUCAGUGGUGCUGUGAAACAAGGGAGAGUGCACAUGCCUGAUGGAACGAUGGGCAGAUGCUCGGAUGUGCUGUAAUUGAGAAUGCUGCAAGGCUGUCAUUUUACACUGAGUUAAGAGCUUCACAAAUACGGGAAGAUUAUCUUAACGAAGGUGAAAAGUAAUUAUUGUGCUUUUUUGCCACUAUCAUCAAGGGCCUGUCAGCAUCUCCAUUGUGCUAGAGAUGGCUGGGGAGGCUAAUCUGAGUGUCUGUGAGGAAUACUUGUGUGGAAUUAAAACCUGGUGAGAGGUGCAAAUGUUUUGUUUAGUGCUCUGAUUAGCUUUCUUUCUCUUUCAGUAAAUGGGCUCUUGAACUCAUCACUGGUAUUUCUAUAUAGACUUAGUUUAGGCCAUUUAAGCAAAGGUAGAAUGAUCACAAGGGAAGUAGUUACUGUUUGAUGGAUUUUCAUAGCUCUGUUGGAAGUAUUUUCUCUUGAAAUGCACGUUUGUGUCACAGGAGUCAGUGCCUUAAUGGCAGUUGUUGUGUUCUGUGCCAUCCAGCAGAUGAGCUGAAUACACUGAACGCUGUGUUUUGGGAAACUCCCCUCUUAGCAAGGCUCCUUCCCUGAUGAAAAGCGUGAGAGCAGAAAAGCUGAAGUUUCUUUACUGUCUGCCAGUUAAUGGCCAAGUCCUCACCUUGCUCUGGUGUCCCACGAUCAGAUUGUUGUACCUGGGUGUUGCAAGCAAUCUCUGUGGUUGUUGAUUUGGUGACGCAGCACUUUAAAGUUUGUUGGAUCUUCACAAGGUCUUGUUUCAAGGGUAAUUAAACAACUCAUUAGAUUUGGUAACAUUGGAGAUUGCAUUUUUGAUUUUACUUGCAUUUUAAAAUUUACUCCAGCUAAAAAAUAGUUUUUAUAAAUGGAACUGGAAGAAGCAACUAGGGAUGGGUAUCUAUAAGUUUGCAAAUUAUGGGUCAGGGAAGAGUGUGGGGAUUAUCUGUCUCAGAAGCAGAGCUGCCCAUUCUGAUUGGUCUUUCUCACUCAAAGUCUUGAUAGAUUUGAAAAAAUUAAAAGUGAUUAAAUUGAUCCAACCACACAGUGGUUGUUGAGAUCUAAAUUUGGUUAACCUCUUGCUUGAGAUGAGGAGCUAAAAAGUGCUAAUGCUAAAUAUACUGUAUUUAAAUCCGUUGAUACGAUUGACAUUGACAGCAACAGGCUCUUCCUAUGGAAAGGUAUUGGUUGUGUUGCUGAAGGCUUGACAUUUUUAGAUUUUACAAGUAUGAUUUGAGUCUUGCAGAUCUUAAAAGUGAGACAACGAUUUCUGUUCCCAGCUCCAUGCUGUCAUAGAAGAACAGAAAAGCUGAAUUCUGAGUGCUUGGAUUUAAAAAGAUUUUGGAAACAUACUUAAAAGCCACAAGGACAACAUGAAACAAGGAAAUGCAAGCUUGAAAAUAAUUCAUUUGCUUUCUGAAUAAUUAAAAACUCCAUGUGAAAUGCAUGAUAACGCUUCAGUCCUCAGCAAGCUAGCAAUGCUUAUUUACCUGGUGUAUUAUAGUUGGCAAUUUAUGUCCUUCUGCUAACAAUAUGCCAAUUGAACAUUCUUGCAUUUUAUUACUAAUUUCCCUCAGUCAGUUCUUCUUGAAGAUGAACACUACAGUGCAGUUUUCACGAGUAUGCAGGUGAUUACUAAGAUGCAUGGAUUGGUGGCAGCAGUCGCUGGUUGGUGCCAGCAGCUUUGGAAAGUGGAUGCUACCAGUUCCCAGGCUCUGGACAGCUUGUUUCAUUCUUCAUUCUCAAAGUCAUCAGAACCUGGCAGUCCUUAGCAGCAGUGGGCACAAGGAGACUCUGGGGGCAGCUGGCCACAAGAGGACCCAGAUGAGGAUGUCAUUGUGCUCUUCCCAUGCAUCGUGACCGUGAUGCAAAAAGUCCUUCCAGGGGUUGUCUGUUGGAUUUCAUUGGCAGCUUCAGAAGAUGAGCUGAGAGGAAGAGCUUCUGCAUGAGGCACGGCCCAGAGGGACGCUCAGUGCCUGCCUGGGCUGUGUGCUCGCUCAUGUCUCCCUGCUGCCCUGCAGCUGGAGAAGGCUUGAAGGUUGAAAUUCAAGUCCAGGACAAAUCCAUCAUUGGAGAGGUCUGGGCAUCCCUGCGAUGUCCCACUGGUGUCAGCAUUGGCAGAAGGAAGGAGACCCAGUCCCCGCUGUGAUGCUGGGGUGCCCUAUGCUGAAUUCCACAGGUGCAAAGAGAGGAGGAACUGCCACUUCCCAGACCGUUGGCUGAAGGGAAGAGAGAAGUUGGAAGCUGUCUGUCUGCAAUUUUGGCUCUGCAGUACUACUGGCUCGGAGUGAGGCAAAAAAGCAGCAGUACCAGGCAGCAAUGUGCACCAAACCACAUAGCUCUGCAAGAGGUAAAUCUGCUCCACUCCUUCACAGCCUGUCCUGCAACUUGUUUCUAGGUGGAUGUACAGAAAGAUGUCCGUGCCUCAUAAAGUCCCUACUGGUAUGUUAGCACUGAUUUAACUCUGAUGUAGUUAUAGGAAUCAUGUAAUGUCUUAAAAAUGAAACUGCCUGAAAAAGACUUCAAAGCUUCUAUUAAAAUGUGGGGGAGCACGUCAAGAGUACUAAAAAGAAAUAAUAAUUCCAUCAUUUCUUUGUCAAAUAUUUAUAGCAUCAUACACAUUGCAUUUGUUGUUCCUCCUUGCUAAGAAGGUAUUUCUGGAUUAAUUGAAUUGGCUUCUGGCAUUUUUGAUCACUCUAGGAAUAUGAUUUUGCAAGUUAACAGUGGCACUUCCUCUCCUCUGGUUAUUUGCUACUGCAAAUGGAAUUAGUUCUCUUCAACUGGAAAAUGUUCUUUGGAAAUGACCUCACGUUAUUGUCUCCAAUCUCCCCCAGCCCAGGGAAGCAUGGAUGAAGCCAGUAGUGAAAAUCCAUUGUAACGUAGGUUCUGAUCAGCUCCACAUGCCUAGCCAGUCUAAUGCUGUGCUUUGUGAAUGACAUCCAGAGGCCACAGCACAGGGAAGGGCCAAGUGAUGGACUUUUGCAUUACCUGCUGCUUAUGCUGUAAGACCACAUCCAUCGCUCUAGUAAAAACUAACAAUGUGGCAGUUAUCAGUGGAAAAAGUGUGCUAUGGUAUUCACUAAACAGUAAUGGCUGUUUGUUCUGUGCCUUACGUGUGCUGUGGUGGAUUUGUUGGUGGGUCAGCUGAAGGACACCCAAGCUUUGAGAACGAGCUCUCUGACACUACAUGGUUCAAAAUGACCAUUGAUGAAAAACUGCAGAGCCAAGCAGAUAAACCAGGCGUGGGUCCUGGGAAAGAGGGAAUCAUCCCAACUCCCUGUGAACUCAGUGAGGCGGAAUGAAGAAGCAUCUGAGUGUCGUUAUUUGAGUCUCGUUAUUUGCUGAUACCUCAGUGUUUUUGCCCAGUGAGAAUCCUUCUGUGCCGAGUCACUGCGUUUGGGGUUGGUUUGUUCGAGACAAACACAGUUCCUCCAUAGUAGCUGAAUGCAGUAGGAGCCAGUGAGAAUUCAGGGGGCUGGUUCAAAAGAUUUCAGCUUUGGAAAGCCACGCAGUUAACGCUUGCUCCAGAAAAGGGGCACAUAAAAUCACUUUUUUCUGCAACUGAUGCUUAAUGGGGGCCAUGUGAUUGGUGGAGGUUGUUUUGAGUGCAUGUAAGAAACUAUAUAUGUUUAAAAAAAUAUCGUGUGGGGAAACUGCCAGGCCUGGGAAGUGCAGUGCAAGCUGUCCUGGCGAGGCUCAGCGUUGACUCCAUACUUUAGACAUCAGCUUUUAGCAUUCUCUGCCUUCCUUUCUGUUUAUAAAAUUCAUUUUUUAGUGCACCAAACCUCUACAAUAGUCAUUACAGGUGUGAACUUGCUAUCAACAGAAAUAAUGCUUAAUUUUAUGGGAGAUGCAUAGAGGGAAUUAUUUCGCUAGGGGCUAAAUAAAUACAUUUUCCAUAGCACCUCUCAAUUCCCAGAGCAUUAAGAAACCACAUUUCUGUCAGUAAGCAAAUCCACAGCUGAUGUCUGGGCUAUCAGCAUGCUCAUAUUUCUUGCAGACUGAAAAUGUGAACAUCAUUCUUGCUUCUUCCCUCCCAGUAAUGCAAGGAAGAGGAUCCCUUGCUGUCUGGGUUGUGAAACUGCUUAACUUAGAGUAUUUGUUUUACCAAGGGAAGAUAAUGGUAGGGAAGAAGGGGGUGGCAUCUGGUUCUGGGGCAGGAGGGCCUUCAUUGCAGUGCUCCUGCCCCAGAGGGGAGCUGUUGAUUGUUCGGUUGUUGGGGUGAUCCAAGCAAAAAGCAGGGUUAAAUUCCCAUCGCAUUAACAGGAGAACAUUAAGGAAUAAUCUCGAAAAAAACCCAACCCUAUUCAUUGCAGUGUUUGUAGUUAAUUUGCCAACUACAAAAAAUAGAUGCUGAAUGUGUUUUCUUGGCCAAAGGAAGAUGAAGCAUUGUCGCUUCAGUGGCAGUUGUGUUAAUGGUCACUGUUAACAACUGCUGAAAAAAGAAACAAGAUAGUUUGCACAGGGCUAUUUGGGUACCUGUUUAGAAACAGCUAUUCUUCUAUUGCAGUAGAAUAGAAAGCAUCACCCUCUCCACAGUUAAGUAGUUCAUUCUUGAAAAAUUCCCUUUCUAUUGCAAGUAGCAUCAGCGCAGAUUUUGGUUGGCAGCCAUAUAUGCUAAACACGCCUAGGUAGGAGUCUGAGGGAUCAGAUACAUAGAGAAAAUCACCUCAGGCUAAGACAAGCAAUUUAUUUUGUGCUCGCUGCGAGCCAGAAGCACACGCUGAUCUGCAGCACCUCCCCAUUUCUCCACAGUGCCAUUUUCAUCCAGCAAGCCUAAGCAGUGCAGCUAGUCUUUUGGAAAAUUGUCUGUUGUGCUAAUGUUCUGUUAAUGACUUGUGCAGCUUGCUUAUUUCCCAUCAUCAUCGUUUGUGAAACGACUCUUGUCGGAGCUCCCUGCAGCACCAGGGAAGCUCAGCGGCGGCACUGCGGGCUGUGGGGAAGGCCUGGGCCACGCAGCCAAGUUGUGGCAGCACGUGGGCACAUCUGUCACAAGUGACGCCCAUCUGAAUGAUCUGGAGAGCCUUCAGCUAAAGCACGGGGAUUGAGAGAGCUGAGCGCGGGGCAGAGCGCAUACAAAGCAUGGCUGAGUCAGGGGCAGGAGGCACCCAUGGGGCAGGGAUGCUGCAACAGGCAGGUGCGCCUCGAGCCCUCUGUGAGAACAGCUGGCUCACAGAGGACAUGGGCAAUUCUAAGAAAAGGAUGUUGAGCUGAGGUGUUUGCAGUUCCAUAUCCGUGCAUUUUGUGUGGAGGAGAGCUGACUUAUUGGCGCUGCGCUGCACUUCAACAAUAACCUUCAAUGGCGCGACGCGAGGGAGACAUUCGUGUACGGCCACAGGCAGCGUGUGUGCAGCCAGUAACCUGCUAGGGAAGUAAGCACAGCACAGAACCUUCUCUGAAGUGUUGUGUUCCCAUCAUCGGGUCCGACUGCAGGCGAGAGUCGCAGUGACCCCGUGUACCUCCUAGAGAAAGCCUGCUCCUGGACCCAGAGGUGCAACUGACCUACAUGGAGAGCUCGUUUCCGCCAAGAGUCACAUUUAGAAGGGCAGUCCUGUUCAGAGGAAUACUGAGGAAUUGUGCCUGAUAGCAAGCCUUUUCUAUGGAAGUUUUUAAAGUUGUGGAUGUCAUCAGGAAAUAAGAUGCUGACGGGACUGCAUGGGUAAAAUACAGAAAGGUCAAGCUCGAAUGGUGCAAGUCACUUGAAAAAGCACACCAGAAUCUGAAAACGGGAGUUUGUUGUUAAAAGCAAAGACAGAAGAAAGGACUUACAGAAUAUGAAACAAAGGAACAAAAGCUUCAAAACGUGUUCUCAGGGAUUUGUAAUAUUUACAGUUUGGGGUUUGUUUUUCUUUUCCAUACAAGAAAUGCGUUGCUUUUUAAACUGUAUCUUUUUGUCUGCUCAUACGUUCCAAAAUAAAGUCAGUGUUUAAUUUUAGGGAAAGCUCCAGGGAAGCGGGGAAAGCUGUGAUGAGAAGGCGAUUUGCUGUGUUUCAGAAGACAACCUCAGCAUGUUUUAUCAGUACUCUUUAGAAAAAUACUAGCCUUAUCUCCAUGGAAGAAAUGCAAAGAGCAUCCUCUUCAUAAUUCUUGCACUUCACAAACAGCAUAUUACAUCUGACGUUUAAAAAUUGCAAUUUAUUGUGGGCCUAUUCGUAAAGCUUGUGUCUGAUGCAGUGUUUUUCACUAAAACAUUGAAGUAAUUUUGUGGGAGAGAGGAAAAUCCUUUCCAUUUAUUUACUGAUCUUUAGUACAGAGGGAUAUCUAGCACAGUACAGUUACUGUACAUGGAUGGCCCAUCAAAUCAACCUUCGAAUUGCAACCCUGCUUGUCAUCUGUUUGAAAAUCUCUUGCAAAUUACCAUUAACAAGUCAUAUUAGAAACAUCAGGAAUAAUAAGUGCUUUCAAACAGUGGGCUGUCAAAUUACAUAGUCUGUUUGUUCUUUAGGAAGGAAAAAUUCAUAAAAGCAUUUAAAAGCCUUGAAAACCUGAAAGGCAAGACAUGUUUGUUCAGUAGUAAUAUUCUUACACGAGAAACUCAACUUAUUUUCUUAGCAUGUUUAUUUUCAUAAGAAAAUGUUUGUUUUCCUGAGAAAAUAGAUUAAUCUUGAGAAAAUACGGGCUGUUCUUUUGUGCUCAUGACUGUAGUUUUCAUCUCCUCCUACACAGGGUCUGGUCCUGUUCAGUACGAAGGCAGUAGUAAAGCUUUUAUUUCAUUCACUGGAGAAGAAUCAUGCGCCUUAUUAUUAUCCUCAUUCUAUGUAAUUACCAGAUAAAAUUAUUUGAAUAAAUUGGCUUUCAUGACAAUCAACCAAAUCAUUUCUAUCCUGGCUUAAAAGCCAAUUUCAUCUCCUUGUAGCUCUUCUGCACUGGAAGGCAGGACAAGUUCGUGGAGCAGGCAGAGCAGCGUGCCCCAGCCCGGCCUCACCUGCGCCCUGCGGAGCUGUGGGGCAGCUGCACAAAGAUGGCACGUCCCCCUGCUAACCUGCAUGCUUUGCUUUCCAGCACAUCCAAGGUACCGUGGUUGAUGAAGGACGAAACAGGGAGAUUCAUUCAUUUCCAGCUGUACGGCUGUUGUGCGUUCAUAUCCUCCUGUAUAUUUUAAAUGCAAGGGAGAAUUUAAACCUAAUUGGUUUUAGCUCGUAGAGCAUCAAAAAUUUACAGAGCAUAGCUAAUUUUGGGAGACCUGUUCCAACUAUUUUUUGCAUUUAGUGUAUUUGCUGGCUAAAGCAUGAAGGGAGACAAAUAUUACAGAGAUAUUACUGCAUCUUCUAAUUAAAGAACAGGCAGAAUUCAAUCUCGGCACAUUCCAAAUCUCUGUACCAAAUGAAAGGAUCUGAAGAACUUGUUACUCACGGGGGUAUGUGCUUCCUGGAUUUCAUACUAGAAUGACUCUGGCAAUAGGAAGCAGAGACGGGAGGGUCCAAAUCAAAUUAAGAAAAAUAAUAAAAUAUUAAUGGGAAUUUUAAACAAGGAAAUAGCUCUAGAAGAAGAAUGGGGGGAUUUAAAAGCCUAGGCUAGUUUUUGGAUUAAAUUUCUGAUUUGUUUUCUUUUUUGCCUGCUCCAAGAAGCAAGACAGCUUUGCUAGUGGAUGUUUUACAAAUGCUAAAAUGUGGAACGCAUAAGAAAUACUUUCAAUAAGGAGAAAUAGGGAUGCCAGAACUGCACAGAACUUUCAGAGUGCAAGAGAAAAACCGCCGUCGUCUCUCCUUGCAGGCUGGCUUUCUGGCAAUGCGAUUCCUUUGCUUCCUACACAGUUCUAGAUCAAACUCCAGUUAAUGAGUCACCGAGGAUCCCCGUGGUCGGGAAAGACCCCAGCACUGUUAAACAGACCACUGCAGUUUGUGAAGUGGCCGAGGAAAAUACUGCCCUGCAUUACCACCAAGGACCAGAGGUCAGCGCUUCGGGGCAGAGAGUUAUACAGCAAGAGCAUCGUACCAAAUAAAGUAGGAGAGAGCUGUUUCUCUGUGGCACUUUUAUAAAUCUGUGCAUUCUCAAUACAGCAUCCUGUUAAGUGUUUCAGGACUUAUUUACAACUGCUUUUCCCUUAUCUUUCUUUAAGUAUAUAUAUUUAUAAAAAACAACAAACAGGUAUCUGCUCCCUUUUGUAUGCUUGAUCUUUAGAAAUUGUGCUCCAAGUAAAAAUCCGUUCCCAUUCUAUUGGCAAUUCGGUCAGCUGGAAGGUCAAGAAGAUGCUAGCUUGUACCACCAAUCAAAUUAAAAUCUUACAGUUUAGAAGGUGAAGUUGUGAAAGCAUUCAAUGUUUUAUAGUGGAAUUGAAGAGCAGACACUAAUUCUCUUCUCAUUGAUGCCAAAGACAUCUGCUUUCUUCAUGAGGAAGAGAACUAGGCCAACUCAAAAUAGGCCAAUCCAGUAUUUUCCUUCAGUGCCACACAUAAAAAUGAAAGAUGACGUCUAAAUUGCAAAACAAAAUUCAAAUAAAGUUGCAAGGCUUCAGGAAGCAAUAAGAGAAGGUAACUUGAAGUACCUUAGUCCAGGUAUCCCUCAGAAUGGCAUGGAGGCAUGCCCUACUGGCCUCGUGAAGCCAAUUAGUGGAGGAUUAAUCAAUCAGCUGCAGGAAGAGAGUCUAGAAAAGCAGGCUCAUCACAUGCAUGCUCAGUAGGCUGUUUCUUAGCACAGUAGCCCUCUGAUUUCUCUUUUCAGAAUUCAGGCACUCUGGUUUAGGGAAGCAGGAUUACCACGCGCUGACAAAAGCAGCUCUAAGCCAGGUAGGAAUCAAAAACGUGAGCCUAUCUUCUCACAGCAAGGCACACGCCAAGGGUAGAGCUGCAGAUGAGCACUUUGUUCCUGAAGUGAACUGCUGUGGAUCUGUGCAGGUGCACGUGGUGGUGGUGGCACCCAGCCUCGCUCCCUGUGCCCCAUGCUGGCAUCACCGCCUCCAGCACAGCUGGGAGAAGGUAAGGCUGUGCACUCAGAAAUGAGGUUCUGGGUUGUUUUAGGAAAAAAAAGUAUUUUGUAUUUACCACAGCAUUUAAGGCCCGAUCCUGCUAAUUACUUAACUGGAGCUCAGGAUUUAGGAUUUGCUGCGGGAGCUCUGUGCAUCCUGCAGGACGGGGCUUCUCACCGCAUGAAGAUGUGAGCGCGGCUCUGGGCUCACUGCAAAUUACCACUGUAUAAACAGACAGCAGCUCAAUGGAUUUAUGUGCUGCCCAAAAGUUUGCAUGGAUUUUCUGCAGUUCUCUGUCUACAAAAUGUCUGCCAGAAAAAAAAAAAAAUCUUGAGCUUGGGAGGAUGAAGUAUCACACGUGUAUUGUUCAUGUAGCUAUGGUAACCCACAAAUGCCACCAGUGUUUCCAUUUCAUACACAAAUGAGGGGACAGCUGUGGAGACCACAUGUCUGCCAAUGGAAUAAUAUAUGUGAACUAGGAUGGCUUGGCCAGAAAAUUACAACUCAUUUAUAUUAAUCAGGGCUUCAAAGAACGGCCAUCUCUGCAGAGAUGAAGUCCACAGUAAAAGGGAGUGAUUUUGUUUCUCAAAGUGUUUGGCUCUUCAGUAAACAUCUUCACCAUCCUCCUACUUGCCGAUUUAAAAGUGGAAGUGUUGUGAGCAGGCAGUGCCCUUCUGUAAAUCUCACUGCACUUUUUCCCUUGGUGUGGUCUUUUUUUGCUGUCUGCCCUUAGUCUGGCCCGGCCCAAAGCCCACCUGGGAAAGCAGCAGUUCCCAAGCAGGCAGAAAUUAGCUCAGAACUGGAACCUGGCCACCAAAGUGAGACAACAAAAACAACUUCUUUUUGUUGUUGUUGUUUUACUCAUUGAUAACACUAACAGAAAUAAAAGCUUCAGAACAAA